AUUGAACGCUGGCGGCAGGCUUAACACAUGCAGGUCGAGCGGAGAUGAGGUGCUUGCACCUUAUCUUAGCGGCGGACGGGUGAGUAAUGCUUAGGAAUCUGCCUAUUAGUGGGGGACAACAUUCCGAAAGGAAUGCUAAUACCGCAUACGCCCUACGGGGGAAAGCAGGGGAUCUUCGGACCUUGCGCUAAUAGAUGAGCCUAAGUCGGAUUAGCUAGUUGGUGGGGUAAAGGCCUACCAAGGCGACGAUCUGUAGCGGGUCUGAGAGGAUGAUCCGCCACACUGGGACUGAGACACGGCCCAGACUCCUACGGGAGGCAGCAGUGGGGAAUAUUGGACAAUGGGCGGAAGCCUGAUCCAGCCAUGCCGCGUGUGUAAAGAAGGCCUUUUGGUUGUAAAGCACUUUAAGCGAGGAGGAGGCUACCUGGAUUAAUACUCUAGGAUAGUGGACGUUACUCGCAGAAUAAGCACCGGCUAACUCUGUGCCAGCCGCCGCGGUAAUAC
rnacentral:rRNA from 1 species